UAGUUCCUACGGGGCGCAGCAGUAGGGAAUCUUCGGCAAUGGGGGCAACUCUGACCGAGCAACGCCGCGUGAGUGAAGAAGGUUUUCGGAUCGUAAAGCUCUGUUGUAAGAGAAGAACGUGUGUGAGAGUGGAAAGUUCACACAGUGACGGUCACUUACCAGAAAGGGACGGCUAACUACGUGACAGCAGCCGCGGUAAUACGUAGGGCACGAGCGUUAUCCGGAUUUAUUGGGCGUAAAGCGAGCGCAGGAGGAUGGAUAAGUCUGA
rnacentral:rRNA from 1 species